GUUGUAUUUUAUGAACAGUUUAUUUAUUCAAACAUACAGAAACAAACUAUUAAACUGUUGUUUUCAACUGCAGAAAGUGCUGAGAUUUUGUUAAAUUAGUGCCAUUGAGUAACUGCAGUAUAAAAGUCAAGCGCGUCAAGUGCAUCAUCAUUCAACCUUGAAUUAUAGUCAGUUGAUGAGUCUUGGAUGAUACGGUUUCAAUUUCAUAUCUUUGAGCAUUUGCUGUAAUGAUGUUCUGGGAAUUGUCAGUGUUGCAGACAGAUGGCAUGUUGAUUUGGAUUUGUGGGGUGAUGACUCUAACACCUGUUGCAGCCACUUCUUGUUCUCUGCUGUGUUGACAGUUUUUGGUCUCCCUGCAUGCGGCAUAUCCAGUACAGUUGCAUCGAAGUGUUUGCUUAAACAUGCAGUGGUCUUUGGCUUUGGUGCAUUUGGUCCAUACUCAAGAUGCAUACAGCAAUGAACUUCCUGCAUGUUGUCAGUUGCGGAGUACAGAUGUACACAUCAAAUUCAUUACUCCAGAAGAAUCCUUCUAGUCACCAUUUCAGAAGUUCAACCUGUAAGAAAAAAACACUUCAAAACAUUGCAAUAUGACACUUCUGCUACAUGUUACAAGUUGAACUUAUCAGAGAAUGCACUUCUAGAAAUUAUGAUGAUUCAAACUGUAAUCUGCUACUAAUGGCAGGGAUACUCAACCUACAGGAUAGGCUGAAUAUCCCUGGUCCAAAAUAUUCCAAAAUCUGUAACUUUACUUUUAUAACAUGGAACCGUAUCCCUAGGGCUAUGAUUCACUGUUGUGCCACAAAAGGUGACACAAUAGUGCAUGAAUAGCUAUAGUGCCUUGUUGUGAUUCAGUAAAUCAUCAAACAUUGUCAGUAAACUGAUGGUUUAAUGAAGUUAUAGGAGAGAUGUCUGUGAUUAAUUUUUUAUUGUGUUGUUUAUAUAUAAUUAAAAAUGUCAAAAGUCUGAUAGUGAAUUUUUUAUCACUUCUCUUCAAUGUAUGUAUGUAUGUAUUAUACAAUAUGAUAUAUUACAGGGCAACUUUUGUAUAGCCUUAGUCAAAAGUAUACAGUAUAACUUACAUUCCAGAUAUACAUAUAUCUUUAUUCAAAAAAACUUCUAUUACUUCUGUUAAAAUAAUGUACAAGAUAAAUAGCUGAAUAUGCAGAUUGAAUAUUAAGUUGAUUAUGAAGAUAAUAUCAUGAUUACAAAUUUGAUUUAAAGAGGAUUAUCAUGUAUAUUUUUUUUAAUUAUGUAGAUGCUUAAGUUCUGAAUAUGUGGUUGUUAACUGAUGAAGGCCAAAAAGUUGCUAUUCAGUGUAUAGAAUUUUUUAACCAAUAAAUUUGCUUAUCCUAUUUAAAAGCUUAUCAGGAUUACACUGUAUAUAUAUAAAUGGACAAUUUUACAAAACU
rnacentral:lncRNA from 1 species